AAAAAUCGUAAGCGUAUCGUUAAUAUUCUAAUAAGGGAGGUGGUUGAGCGUAAAGUUGACAAAUAUACCGCGAUAUUUCAUGAUAUGAGUCGACAACUUAUUGAAUUGUUUCCCACGGAAAAAUAUGAAACAUAUUUUGUACCCCACUCCGGAUCACAAUCUGCCAGAGGUGCCUUGUAUUAUCGUUACUCAAAUUAUACACGGCAGCUUCGCAAAGAGGGUCUGUUGGCCUAUAAGAAAUUAAAGCCUCGAAUGUGUACAAAAUAAAAA